CUUAAAUAUUGGUUGAAAAUUGUUACCAAGAAACCUCCUAUUGUAUUUGAUGUAUAUAAAAUGUUAGUUAAUGAUGCUGAGAAUGGUAAAACAAAAUGGGCGUCAAAUGUUCGUACCUUGUUAAAUGAUCUUGGUUAUAAUUUUUUAUGGUAUAACCAAGAAAAUGUAUUUUUUUCAUAUGAUGUUUUGAAACUACGCCUCUAUGAUCAGUUUAUACAAAGCUGGCGUUCUAGUAUGUUGGAUUGUGAAAAAUUGGAUAUUUUGAAAAUGUUCAAAAUUGACUUUUGUUUGGAAAAAUAUUUACUUCUUGAUGUCAAUGUUAAACUCUUAACACAACUUAGAUGUGGUUCACUUAAACUCAACAUUGAAACUGGUAGAUAUAAUAAUGUGCCUCGUAAUGAAAGACUACAGAGACGUGCAAAAAGUAUUCGGUCACAAUGGCGUCGUGUUUACGUUUGUACAGGUGACCGACUUUUAAAUGGCCUUGCCCCACGUCAAUCACGUCACUGAGUAUUACUGUACUAGUCUUUUAGCGUUGUGCAUCACAUGGGCUACCGUCAUGUGACGUUUGUUGUCGUCUGCCAUUGUAGUUUCGUUAAAACAAGUAAAAUAACAAAGAUGGGUAGAAAAGGUCAGGAACUGUCAACAGAUGUCAAAAACAUGAUUGUGGAAAUGUUCCAGAAUGGAUUUUCUCGACGAAAAAUCGCUGACAUACUUAGAAUUCCCAAGUCAACAGUUAUUGACAAUGUUCGAAAAUUUUUAGACACGGGUUCUGUGGAGAAUAAACCCAGAAGUGGCCGACCAUUGUUUGUAAAACCACGCGACUACCGCAAGCUUGAACGCAUUGUAAAGACAAGUCGGAGGAGCACUUUAUGUGACAUAACAAACAAGUUUAAUGAGGAAAAUUGUGUUCCCGUGUCUAAACGUACCAUCCAGCACCAUUUACAUAAACAUGGGUAUCACAGGUGUGUAAAUAAGAAAAAAAAUCGUGAUCCGGGAAGUCAAUCGGAAAAAAAGACUUGCAUGGUGCAGAGAAAAAAGGAGAUGGACGGUUAA
rnacentral:sRNA from 1 species